rnacentral:rRNA from 1 species
UAGUUUAUAGCCGGAGGCGUGCACUUCUCCCCUUGUAGGACGUCGUGACCCAUUGGAUUAUGUUGUCUAAGGCUUAUAAUGGAGACCGUGGCAUUAAGUUUCGGCUUUAAUGACCCGGACUUAUAAUGUCCCGACAUCUAUCCGAUGGUAUAAUUAUGAUGAUAGAUCGCUAUAAAUGCGUAUGAGCGUUCAGAUCCAUAACAAAUUCUUUAUAUGUUCAUAAUAGUGGAAAUCGGAUUUAAUGCCGAUUCUACACAUAUGGUAUUGAUAGUUGUGGUAUUCUCGAACCGUUCUUUAUCAUCAGUCAACGGCGUUUAUGUUUUGGGUAAUUACAGGACCCGUCUUGAAACACGGACCAAGGAGUCUAGCAUGUGCGCAAGUCAUUGGGACUUUGUGAAACCUAAAGGCGUAAUGAAAGUGAAAUAUUUGUGAAUUUUCGUAAUUCACUGAAUUUAAGGGAAGAUGGGUAACGUUUUUUAUGUUACCUCGCAUUCCCGGGGCGUC